rnacentral:rRNA from 1 species
CCUACGGGAGGCAGCAGUCGAGAAUCAUUCACAAUGGGCGAAAGCCUGAUGGUGUGACGCCGCGUGGGGGAUGAAGGUCUUCGGAUUGUAAACCCCUGUCAUUCGCGAGCAAAGCCGUUUGGGUAAUAUCCUGACGGUCUGAUAUUAGCGAAAGAGGAAGGGACGGCUAACUCUGUGCCAGCAGCCGCGGUAAU